rnacentral:rRNA from 1 species
AAACCAACAGGGAUUGCCUCAGUAACGGCGAGUGAAGCGGCAAAAGCUCAAAUUUGAAAUCUGAGGCUCUCCAGCCCCCGAGUUGUAAUUUGAAGAUGGUGUUCUGGUGCCGGCGCCCUGUCUACGUUCCUUGGAACAGGACAUCGCAGAGGGUGAGAAUCCCGUGUGGCGGGGCGGCCUGGCUCCGUGUAGAGCGCCAUCGACGAGUCGAGUUGUUUGGGAAUGCAGCUCUAAGUGGGUGGUAAAUUCCAUCUAAAGCUAAAUAUUGGCGAGAGACCGAUAGCGAACAAGUACAGUGAUGGAAAGAUGAAAAGAACUUUGAAAAGAGAGUGAAAAAGUACGUGAAAUUGUUGAAAGGGAAGGGUAUUGGAUCAGACUUGGUGCUGUGCGAAUAGCGGCUCUUCCUGGGCCGCCCCACUCGCACUCCACCGGGCCAGCAUCGGUUUGGGCGGCAAGACAAUGGCGGGGGAACGUGGCACUGCUCUCGGGCAGUGUGUUUAUAGCCCUCGCUGAUGUUGCCUGCCUAGACCGAGGACUGCGGCUCUGCCUAGGAUGC